ACAGUUUUCAUUCUCUCAAUCUGCAGGGAAGGUGGUGUGGAUGGGAGCGGGAGGGCGCCCAGGGACGGGUGACAAGAUGAUUCACCCCAAGCCCUUCUUGGACCAACUAGGCAUUAGUGGGUUUGUGUUUCUGGGUGGCUAUAGUGAGUGUAGUAGUGGAGUCAGAGAGACAAGAUAGUGCCCACAUGGCUGGUGACAGACCCCGAGAAGUAACAGAGUACCCGCUUACAGAGGCUGCUGAGGCAGCACCUGUCCUCUUCACGCUCAGUAAAUGCAGUGUAUGGCGCAACAGGCCACUGCCGCCACAGCUAUCCCACGUGGACUGUCAAACAGAUGGAACCGAGGACGGGAAGGAUGUCUUUAUUACCAAGAUAAGUGCUCCCGGAAGACCAAACAUUUGAGGAAUGCUCUCUGCAUGAAAGCGACUUAGUGAGCGCCAUCGACAGAAUUCAUGCCCAAGGGCAAAGGUAGCGGGGCGAUCCCAGUACAUCUUUAACAGAGGAAGCUCUGUUUAAGAUUUCAGUGGAGGAAGUAAGUCACUGCAGAGGGGCUGGAAACAGCAGGAGAACUGGAAUUAAAAGUGGAGCCUGAAGAUGGGGCUGAAUUGCUACAAUCUUGUGAUCGUGCUGAGAAGACCGUUGAAGAGACAACAGAGGAUUUAGGAUACUACAUACGAUUAGGUGGUAAAGCAGCGGCAGGAAGUUCUCCUGUGGGUAAAAUGCCAUCAAACAGCAUCACGUGCGAGAGAAAUUGUGAAAGGAAGUCGGUCGAUGCGGCAAAUUGUCGUUUUAUUUUAGAAACCUGUCACAGCCACCACCCUGAUCCGUCAGCGGCCACGAACUUUGAGGCGAGAACGUCCUCCAGCGAAAGGACUCCGACUCAGUGAGAGCUCAGAUGACAGCACUCUUUAGCAAUAAGGUAUAUUUAAGUAAAGAUGUUUCUCCAGUUUUCUCACUUGCAUUGUUUCAAAUGAGAAAUCUCCUGUCAGCCUUCCUUAUCUCUGUGCCUGCAUGGACCUACCAUUCUGAACCUUGUAUCUGGCUGAGCGAGAGCCAGUAAUCAUGUUUUUAGCAAAUCCAUCAACCUCGAAUGCUACCGCUAGCUUACCUUGUCCCUCAAAUGAUGUUCUGCAGCUUCAAUAUUCAGCGGAUCGUCAAAAUUCAAAAGAUCCUUAAAAAGAGAGAAACUCAAAGUAAACAAUGGAAAGAAUCUGUUUUUCUGCUGUCCUAAGUCUUCAUUUUCUAAUCAGCAAACAGGAGAACCCAGAGAGUAGAGAGUCCAUUACGGAUCACGGUUCCUGUGACGGAAGCGCACAGUGUGUGUGGGUACUUCCUGCACGCUGGUCAACGGCUGACUGAAGGUCACCACGUUCACAUGAACUGUCCAAAGUCAGGUGAAAAUGGAGGACAGUGAUAUCACAUUAAGUUCUAAUGUUAUUUUUGAUAAAGAACCACUCUCAUUACGAGCAUUUCCAAAUAA